UUUAAACUGAUUCGCCUUAGUGCCAGCAGCCGCGGGUAAUACGUAGGUGGGCAAGCGUUUGUCCGGAAUCUAUUGGGCGUAAAGCGCGUGUAGGCGGUCAGAUAAGUCCGUUGUGAAAAUUAGAGGCUCAACCCCUAAAUGCCGGCGGAUACCAUCUGGCUAGAGUCCGGAAGAGGUGAGUGGAAUUCCCGGUGUAGCGGUGAAAUGCGCAGAUAUCAGGAAGAACACCAAUGGCGAAGGCAGCUCACUGGGACGGUACUGACGCUGAGACGCGAAAGCGUGGGGAGCAAACAGGAUUAGAUACCCUGGUAGUCCACGCCGUAAACGAUGGGCACUAGGUGUGGGAGGUGUCGACUCCUUCCGUGCCGUAGCUAACGCAUUAAGUUCCCCGCCUGGGGAGUACGGCCGCAAGCGUAAAACUCAAAGGAAUUUACGGGGGCCCGCACAAGCAGCGGACAUUGUUGGUUUAAUUCGACGCAACGCGAAGAACCUUACCUGGGCUUUACAUGCCCUGGAUUCUUUUAAAAAAAAGGAAUGCCU
rnacentral:rRNA from 1 species